rnacentral:lncRNA from 1 species
GCUAAUGGGAUUGAAGAAAGGAGAGUGUUUUUGGCCCAGAUUCCAUCGUCAUCUUCUUAUCAAAUAAAAAUAGUUCUUCUCACUUUUCUCUCGCCUUUCUACUUUCUAGUUCUUGCCUUUUACUGUUACAUUGUACUGUCACCAAUGGACUUCUCUGCUGUGAGAGAUGAAAUUAAAUUUUAUUUUUUUUAAAAAAAAAAAUCACUCUUUUCUUUUUUUGUUUUUAUUUCUUAAAAUUAAAAAUAUUUUAUAUUUUAGGUCUUGCAAUAAAUUGCAUAUUUUUAAUUAUAAUCAUUGAAUUCAUAGUCAAAUGAAAUAAAAAAACAUGUAUUUGUCCUUUAUGUUAUAUCUACCAUUAGUGUUGCUUGAAUUUGGUAUGUAUACGUAUAUCAUCUCAAAAUAUACCUUUGACAAAUAAUGUGUUUUCUUUACCUCCAACAAUUAAAUAAAAAAGUUCAUUUCAGGCGACUGAUGAAGAAUGCAUGGAGCCAGCACAAUGCAAAAAAAAAAACUUGUAGAUACAAGUGAAAAAGGAUUGGGUGGAUCCAUCGUUGGAGAGAAAAUGGAAUUCGAGUUGAAGAGGGGGUUUGCACAAGCGAUGAGGAGAACUUUGGGCUGGAUGUUAUUAUUAGACGGCAUGCUACAAUUAGGUAGCUGGUGAAGAUAUAUAUUUGCAGGUAGAUACGAUCGAGCGAUUUGUUGAGUUGUCCAAAACAAAACCAUUAUAAAAUAAAAAUAACUAAUUUUAUUUUUGUGUAGGGAAGAGAAAGAAAAUCUACAAAAUUACCUCACCCUUAUAAAAUAAAAUUGGAAACGACUUUUCA